rnacentral:rRNA from 1 species
CUUCCCGCCCGGCGACCGGCGCACGGGUGAGUAACACGUAUGAAACCUGCCCGUAGCAGGGGGAUAAGCGGAAGAAAUUCCGUCUAAUACCGCGUAACAACCCGAGGAGGCAUCUCCUCGGGUUUAAAGGAAGCGAUUCCGGCUACGGAUGGUCAUGCGUCGCAUUAGCUAGUUGGCGGGGUAACGGCCCACCAAGGCGACGAUGCGUAGGGGUUCUGAGAGGAAGGUCCCCCACACUGGUACUGAGACACGGACCAGACUCCUACGGGAGGCAGCAG